AGAGUUUGUUCCUGGCUCAGGAUGAACGCUGGCGGCGUGCUUAACACAUGCAAGUCGAACGAAGCACUUUAUUACGAUUUCUUCGGAAUGACGAUUUAGUGACUGAGUGGCGGACGGGUGAGUAACGCGUGGGUAACCUGCCUUAUACAGGGGGAUAACAGUUAGAAAUGACUGCUAAUACCGCAUAAGCGCACAGGAUUGCAUGAUCUGGUGUGAAAAACUCCGGUGGUAUAAGAUGGACCCGCGUCUGAUUAGCUGGUUGGUGAGGUAACGGCCCACCAAGGCGACGAUCAGUAGCCGACCUGAGAGGGUGACCGGCCACAUUGGGACUGAGACACGGCCCAAACUCCUACGGGAGGCACCAGUGGGGGAAUAUUGCACAAUGGGGGAAACCCUGAUGCAGCGACGCACGCGUGAGCGAAGAAGUAUUUCGGUAUGUAAAGCUCUAUCAGCAGGGAAGAAAAAAUGACGGUACCUGACUAAGAAGCCCCGGCUAACUACGUGCCAGCAGCCGCGGUAAUACGUAGGGGGCAAGCGUUAUCCGGAUUUACUGGGUGUAAAGGGAGCGCAGGCGGUGCGGCAAGUCUGAUGUGAAAGCCCGGGGCUCAACCCCGGGACUGCAUUGGAAACUGUCGUACUUGAGUAUCGGAGAGGUAAGUGGAAUUCCUAGUGUAGCGGUGAAAUGCGUAGAUAUUAGGAGGAACACCAGUGGCGAAGGCGGCUUACUGGACGAUAACUGACGCUGAGGCUCGAAAGCGUGGGGAGCAAACAAAAUUAGAUACCCUGGUAGUCCACGCCGUAAACG
rnacentral:rRNA from 1 species